rnacentral:rRNA from 1 species
CAGUAGGGAAUCUUCCACAAUGGACGGAAAGUCUGAUGGAGCAACGCCGCGUGAGUGAAGAAGGGUUUCGGCUCGUAAAACUCUGUUGUUAAAGAAGAACAUAUCUGAGAGCAACUGUUCAGGUAUUGACGGUAUUUAACCAGAAAGCCACGGCUAACUACGUGCCAG